rnacentral:rRNA from 1 species
UACGAAGGGGGCUAGCGUUGCUCGGAAUUACUGGGCGUAAAGCGCACGUAGGCGGAUCGUUAAGUCGGGGGUGAAAUCCUGGAGCUCAACUCCAGAACUGCCUUCGAUACUGGGAAGCUCGAGUCCGGGAGAGGUGAGUGGAACUGCGAGUGUAGAGGUGAAAUUCGUAGAUAUUCGCAAGAACACCAGUGGCGAAGGCGGCUCACUGGCCCGGUACUGACGCUGAGGUGCGAAAGCGUGGGGAGCAAACAGG